GACGAACGCUGGCGGCGUGCUUAACACAUGCAAGUUGAACGGAUAGUCCCUGCUUUUGUGUGGUGCUCGAGUGGCGAACGGGUGAGUAACACGUGAUUAACCUGCCCUUGACUUUGGGAUAACUUCAGGAAACUGGGGCUAAUACCGGUUAUGAGCUCCUGCUGCAUGGUGGGGGUUGGAAAGUUUCGUCGGUUGGGGAUGGACUCGCGGCGUAUCAGCUUGUAGGUGGGGUAGUGGCUUAUCAAGGCUUUGACGGGUAGCCGGCCUGAGAGGGUGACCGGCCACAUUGGGACUGAGAUACGGACCAGACACCUACGGGAGGCAGCAGUGGGGAAUAUUGCACAAUGGGCGGAAGCAUGAUGCAGCAACGCAGCGUGCGGGAGGACGGCCUUCGGGUUGUAAACCGCUUUCGCGUGUGACGAAGCGUGAGUGACGGUAAUGGAUAAAGAAGCACCGGCUAACUACGUG
rnacentral:rRNA from 1 species